UGAUGAAGCAGACAAGUGGGAUCAGAGGAAGCAACAUCAGUUCUGCACAGGAGGGAAGUUUCAGCAACAAAACCAUGGCAGAGAGUGACGAGUGUCUGCACCAGUGAUUCCCAAAGACGAGGUUGCAGCGGAUUGCAUCACUCUGACCUUUAUCAAAUGUUCGCCCAAACUUAGAAAUUAAAUGAAAGUACUGAAUGAACAUGAGCAGCAUGCCUGGAUUUCUCUCUACUACAGUCUCUGGGAUUAUCGCGCUGACGUGAACAAACUUCAGAUCUGAUGAGCUGCCAACACACAAGAGAGACAACAGUGAAACAGAA